GGAAGCUGAGGUGAGAGCUGUUUCCACUCCAUGCCCCAGGGCCUGGGUUGAGGUCUCAGAUGUGAAGCUCUGGAAUGAAAUGUCCCACAGGAGCCACCCCUGGGCCUGAGGCUGGGGCCUCACUUUGCAGCUCUGUUUGGCAUCAUGGUACAACUCCCCUGUCUGGCUGUUGGGACUGCUACGAAAGCUGGUUUUGGAGGAGUCUCCAGCAAGGGUCACUCUGUUUGGGAGAGAUGCAGCAUAGUCUGUGGUCACUAUAAGGGAGUGAAGUAAUAAGUUGUCUUGGAGACACUGGUGACUGCGCAGAUCAAGAGCCUGCUUUCAGAUGAAAGAAGCCAGAAAUCUCAACCAAUGUCUGGAGGUACAAUGUGUGUUGUUCAUGCUCCGUGUGUCAACUUGGAGCAGAAAGUGAAAGCUACCCUUCACCAGCGAAAGCUAGCAGCAGAGGCACAAUGCCCAUGGGUCCCUACUCCAUUUUAAUCAGCCGUAACAUCAAGGUUACACACAGUCGAUUCAAACCUCUAUCCAUCACCACCGAUUCCAAGCAGUCCCAUCUACCCCAGCACCAAGGCUGCACCAACUUACUCCACCCAUGUUGUCACAGCUUCUAGUCCCACCAAACAUACACCAACUACCUCCUAGCAGCAGCCGUCCAAGCCAGCUACUACUUCACCCCCUGCCCUGUAGCUAUCAAAGCCCAACACCCUGCCCUCUCCAAGCCUCCACAUUAUACGCAACCAACUAAUGCCACCCUGUGCUUCACCCUCUAAAUGAGGCUCCUGAAUGUCCCUAUGCUUCUACCAACUACAGCCUCAUGAAAAGGGCAGUCUCUACCCAAAGGACAAAAAGAAAGAAGAGGGAAAAAGAAGCCAGGAUUGGAAUAAAGACAGUAGAGGCAAGAUAGGAGGCAAGGCUGCAGGAGGAGAGUCGAGACAAGGCAGUGAGGCAGGAGGGGGGAAAUCAGGACAGGGAAGAAGAGGAUCCAUGAGGCUGACUGGCACAUAGUGCACCAAGGGGGGUCCCCAAGCAGGGCCAGGGGACAACAGCCCUGGGGCAGAGACAGUAGAGCAGUAGAUGGGGAGCAAGGAGGAACAGGGAUGA